AGUGGCAGACGGGUGAGUAACACGUGGGAAUCUACCCAUUAGUAUGGAAUAACUUUUGCAAACAGAAGCUAAUACCGUAUGACCUCUAAGGAGGAAAGAUUUAUCGCUAAUGGAUGAGCCCGCGCUAGAUUAGGUAGUUGGUGGGGUAAUGGCCUACCAAGCCUGUGAUCUAUAGCUGGUCUGAGAGGAUGAUCAGCCACACUGGAACUGAGAUACGGUCCAGACUCC
rnacentral:rRNA from 1 species